rnacentral:misc_RNA from 1 species
AAUCAAAUGAAAAAACUGAUCUGGACAAUUUCUAAAGUCUAAAUAUUAUCUGUUUCAUCAGGAGUAACAAGAAAGAUCGCUAGAUAAAAUUUCUACAGUUAUACCUUACACGUCAUUGAACGCUAACUCAAUUCACUUGGACUAUGCAAAUCCAAGAAACCAAAUCAAAUUCCUUUGUUUCCAUUGAUUUGACUAUAUUUAAAUUAAAUAACUGCAAUACUACAAUGAUUAAUUAAGAGCUAUUGUGGGGUUUCCUAAAGAGAAAGGAAAAGGAAAAGAACACGAAAAAUUCACACAUCGGUCAAUAUUAACGAGGAUACAAUCACAACAUAUGCCAGAAAAAAGAAAAGGGCUAUCUGAACGAAGAACUUCGGAUUUUCUCUCAUGUUCGGAGAUGUCACUGCCCUGAAAAUCAGAAACCAUUCACACUAUUAGUCCUUUGAAUACAGAAAAUUUUAUUUCUUAGCCCUUCAAAUGAAGGAAAUGUGAGGAAAAGAAAUGAAAAAGUAACUCUAGAACAUCACACUUGGAAAAGACAGAAAAUGACUGUAUCUCUUUCUGUAAACAGAUGUUACCUAGCAAUACGCUGAGAAAAACGUUGAAAGGGUAAACUCUGGAUAAAAACGAUGCCUGGUCCUGUUAGAGUUGCUGUUACCAAAUUGUCACCCUGCAAUUUCACAACAUACUAAGAACAGCUACUUCUUACGCUAUAAGAUAAAUAUUCAAGAUCAAACCCAACUCUCCUCAUAGGUAUUAGUCAUGCUUAAGCAUCAAGGUGAUCUUUGGACUCAUAUUCUGGCUAAGGCAGACCAAAGCUAUGAAAUCGUAAACUACGUUAAUGAUCUUUUAAUACAAGGACACAAUGUUCUAUAUAUAAUGCAACAAUCUUUGAUCGUUGAAAUAGAGGAAUCCAACCAAGAGAAAAAUAAAUACUAAAAUAGAUGAGAGAAAGGGGAGUUAGUUUGGCAUGUAAGUUUGAAUAGAGUAAAAAAUAACAGGCAACUUACACCGAAGACUGCCCUUCUCAUGGGACCAUUGUAUUUGAUUUGUACAUUAACUGUGGUAUUAAGGGCCACAACGCAAGACAUGUCAACAGAUAGUACCUCACCCACCUCAAGAUUUUUCUGCAUAACAGAUCCUCCAGCAAGAAUAAAUGCAAGCCCCUGUCCGGAUAGCUUCUGUCUCAAAAAUCCCUAUAAUGGCAUUAACAUGUCCAUCAAAUGGAAAAUAAAGACACAUCAGAAACUUAAAAAUAGAAAUUAAUGGGAAAAGGUUUAUAACAGAACAAUAACAACUGCUUGAAGGUCUAGGUCUAAUUUCAGGCAGCCAAUAAAGCAAAAUAGGAAAAUAUUAACAAAAAAACAUGCACAGGGUACAGAGAUCAUUUAACAACCAGCACCUUCUCACCUCUGCACUAGCAAUGACAUUUCGUGCCCUCUGAUCAGCUGUAUUGCUUACCUUUACAUCAUUCACAGAGCAAAGGAAAGCAUCUGGCUACAUAAAAGUUUGACAAAGUCACAUAAAAAUUGCAGUUGGUAAAAGUUAAGGAAAAGUCCAAAGGUAAUUCAACAGUGUAAAUCAUACAACAGCAGAAGAAAACCAAAGAGUAUUCAAAGCUCCCCGCUGCAAAAUGUGGAUAAAUGGGUAUAAAUUACUUUCUCUGCAAAAUGAUCUACCUGGCAUAAGAUCUCUCCACCAAACAUUGCCAAAUCAAUCUACAAAAUAAACAAAAGCCACAUAAAUAUCUAAUUAAUAAUUUAGCAUAUUUAAAAACAAAUUUGGCAUCGCAUGUUUGACUACAACAAAAGGUUCAAUGGAUAAAUUAUUUAAAGAAUCUGCCACAUUUUGAAGCACUAACUGGGAGAAUUCUUGCAAGAGAAGGUGCAGCAAUUCCAACAAAUCCAUCACUUGGACCAGCAUUACGAAGGACUAUACUGGUGACAGUCUUCCCAAAAAGCCACUGCCACAGACCCACUUCAUUUUCAGGGAUGAAGAUGUUCUCCAUUUCUACAGAGCCAGACAUGAAGCACAUAGAACCUACAAUAUCACUGCACAUUAGUUCCAUCAACAAUAACCGUGUAAUAGGAAAAAUGUUUUAUGAUAAAAACUCAAAAAAUAGACCAAACAAAAUAUUAGUCAGCUAAAAAAGUAACACAGAAUUGCAUAAGCCAUAAAAAAAUCCUCUUUUUGUUCAAUUUACCUGGCUUUGCAAUAACCUUUUCUUGUGGUUUCAACAUUAUCUGACCAAGAUAGAAUUAAUACCAAGAAAGAAAAUUAAGAGCAGAGAAUCUUAGAACAAAAAAAGAAAAAAUCAGCAUGUAGCCUGGGCUGGUUAUCGCACAGACCUGAACCACUUGUGCCUCACCACCCAAAAUCUGGAAAGGUAUCACAGCAUCUUGCUGACUCUACAGUAAUUUAUCACUCAUGAGAUUAAUAGCAUUCAAUAUCACAAAAUCUACUGACUUGCAAGCAGACUCCAUUAACAGAUGAAUGAAGCAAAACCAAGAGGCAAAAAUUCACAACACAAUCACAGUUAACUAAAUAUUGACCUAGAGGUACCCACUGAAAACUAGCUUAAUUAAUCAAAAAACACAAUUCAUAUUAUCUUCCUUUGCUUACUUGCAAAUAAGGGGAAAUUCCAUAAAUAUUCAAAUUUAGGAUAUCAAAACACAUAAAAGUGCCACACCACUGUGUACCACAAAGACACCUUAAUGAGCUUAUUAAUUGUUCACAAGUAACGUAUGAUGUUAAAAAUCAAAAUGCACUUAUUAAUGAAUCCAAAAUUCCAAAUUAACAAAUGGUGUUUGACUCUAUAAUAUUUACUAUCAAGACCUGUUAAUUAAGCUAAGGUUAAUUUGACUUUACACUAAAGUUCAAUAUUGCAAGAGGAAGAAUUAUCAGGCAUGGUUAAGGCCACCUCAAGUUUAUUAUUAGAAAAAAGGUGCAAGUAUGCUUGCCCUUCAUGAAGGAAGCAGGUAGAAACCCAUAAACAUGUUCCCAUGUCCAUAAUGAGGAGGAUUGUCCCUUAUCGCUGAUGGUUGUUGUGAUGGGAAAGUACCAGAUGACAAUCGUGAAUACCCGCUGACACCAGUGCACCAAGAUAUGCCCUCUUAAAAUAAAGAUUCCAGCACCAACGUGGAUGCAUAUCAAUUCAAACUUUGCACAGAGCAAAACAAACCAUGAGAGCUAUUCUACUGUUUUGCAUACAAAUGUCUGACUUGAGGGGUUUGUCACUAACCAGAUGCCUGCCUGGGUCCACAGUUACGCCAGGCUGAAUGGGAGCUUGGUGUUUGAGGCACAUACUAGACAAUAUCCCCACAAUACAAGAGCAUCCUGCUUAAGCAGAUGAAUCACGGAUAGGAAUAAGUGGGUGGUUAUCCCACUAAAGUGCCAUCUGCCAACUGCACAAGAGGGAGGCACAUAUGUGCAUAGUGUUUAUGCUCCAUGGGUAUUCUCCUAACAAUGCAGCACAAUAUAUUGCAAAUCCUAACACCCCAUUCAGGACACCCUUUCUCAAAGUUCAUUAUGGCCGCACAUUCUCAUGUGUGCAUUUCUAAUCUAAUCUACCAUAUUUUUCAUUCCCUUUUUCUUUUUGCUUUUCCUUUGCACCAGUUUUACAAUUUUACUCCCAAUCACAAAAGUCCAACUCCAACCCCAUACAUAUUAUGUGUGUAUUUAUCCAACUUCAACUUACAUUACAUAUCAUUGCCCAGCUAAAUUUAAUCACAGUAUCAUUGAUUUAUUUGUUUCCCUCAAAUUGCUCACAAUUUUAAUUCUUCCUAGCUCUGUCAUCUAGUUUUCAAACAGCUAGAAAAUACAAAUAUCAGGCAUUCCAUCCUCCACAUAUAUCUAAACUCCUAGACCCGAUAGACCAUUGACACAAAAAUCAUGUUCAAUUAAUGAAAAUAUACUACAUUUAGCAAAAUAAGCAACAAACUCAUCUCCACCAAAUUUAACCCUAACCAGUAACCACCAAAUUAAAUAAGAACACGAUCUCCAACAAUGCACACAAAGCAACACAGAUCAAACAACGAAACCACACCAAAACCCUACAUCAACGGAGCACUUUCUGUAAAGGAAACCACUGAACUCAAUUUUCUUUUCCUCAUCUCAAAUUUCCAAGAAACUAAACACAGGGAAGCUAUACAAAUAAACGCACUUACAAAUAUACGAAUAUAUAAUCGUGUACAGAGAGUGACAAGGUGAGUCAGAGUACCUGAUAAACGUAAGGUUGAAACGGAGUGGAGAAAAACGGCGCGGCCAUGGGGAGCAAACGCAGAGGAUUAUAACCGUGAAGGAGCGAAGAUCGAGAAAGAACUUAAAACGAUUUAAUUUCGAGGAUUUUUAUGGGUAGAAUAGUUCCAUUUUUGAUGAUCGGAUCAAGAAUUGGGAAAUUGAAUAAAAACUUCACACAAGUUUGAAGGACUCCACUUUUUUAUUAUUAUUAUUUUUUUUAAUGUGGAAGAUCUGUAUUGCAAUGAAAUUUUAUGAAGGAUCAGUUGCUGAUCGGAUAGCUUGGUUGAAAGGGGGCAAGCUUCAACUGUCAGAUAUUUUGAGGUACGGCAUAGAUUUGGCGAAAGGGAUCCAAGAGUUGCACUCAAUUGGGUUGCUAGUACUGAACCUUAAGCCUUCUAACUUCCUACUUAAUGAUCAUGAUCAAGUGGUUCUUGGAGAUUUUGGUAUACCUUAUCUACUAAAUGGCAUACCAUUGUUGAAUUCAGAGAUGGCUUUAAGACUUGGAACAGCAAACUAUAUGGCGCCAGAACAGUGGGAUCCAGAAGUACGAGGUCCUAUGUCUUUUGAGACAGAUUCAUGGGGGUUGGGGUGUAGCAUAGUGGAGAUGUUGACUGGUUUUCAACCUUGGUUUGGGAAAUCAAUAGAGGAAAUAUAUCAAUUAGUUGUGAUCAAACAAGAAAAACCAAAGAUUCCAAGUGGCCUUCCACCUGCUGUGGAGAAUGUUAUUAAGGAUGUUUUGAGUGUGAUCUUCGGAACCGACUUUAAUGGAAGAUAUUUUAUGUGCAUUUCAAAGCUUGCAGAAUGCUGGUUAUAGCGAUGGAAGAUGGGUUGGCCUUGAAAGCAGAGCUCUUAGUGAAAAAUCAAGUGCUGCUGGCUAUAUUCCAUGGUAUCUCUCCAAAGAUCUUCUCCAAGUGGGUGACCCAGUUCUUUCAUGAAAACCACUAAAAGCAUGAAAGAAUCAAAAUAUGGAUGUCCUUAACUGAAUUGUGGUUGCUAUAUAAAGUGACACCGAUGGAAAUGAUGAUGUGCUGAUCAAAAUUCCUGGAAUUCACAAACCUCUGAGAGUGCAAGAGUCGGCACUUGAGAAGGUCACAUCUGGCUUUGCAGUGGGAGACUGGGUUCGUCUAAAGGAAGAGCAUGGGAGGCAUUCUUCUGUGGGAAUUCUACACUCUUGUGGAUCGUGAUGGAGGAGGUGUGACAGUUGGAUUUGUAUGGUUGGAGACUCUCUGGAUGGGAAGUACUUCUGAGCUCCAAAUGGCCAAAGUUUAUUGUGUUGGGCAGUUUGUGAGGCUGAAGGCUAAUGUGGUUACUCCACGGUUUGAGUGGCCUCGUAAAAGAGGAGGACGAUGGGCAACUGGAAGGAUUUCACAAAUCCUCCCAAAUGGGUGUCUUUUUGUUGGCUUCCCAGGGAGGCUUGUGUUUGGAGAUGAAUCCAAUAGCUUCCUAGCAGAUCCAGCUGAAGUGGAACUAGUUUCUUUUGAUACUUGUCCUGGAGUGGUGGAAAAAUAUCAGCAUGUUGAGGAUUUUCACUGGGUUGUAAGGCCCCUUGUAAUUGCAUUAGGUGUAUUUACUGCCGCGAAGCUUACAAUUUCUGUCGGAAGAAAAGUAAGCACAAAACUGAGAAUGGGCCAAAGAUCAGGCAAUGGCCAUUAUCAGGAUGGCUCAGCUGGUAAUAAUGCAGCUUGGUUUCCACCGCCAGUUGCAAAUAUUCUUUUCAAAGAAGGUGUUCCUACUGCCACUGUUAGGUAAUCCAUCACCUCAUAUCCAGACAUGAGUAAGUUUCCUAGAAUCUAAAAUCGUUCAGAGGCUGUUAACUAGAAUAACUGCCAAAGGUCAAGAACAUCAUUGGUUUUAACUCAAUGCAAUUGUACCAGACAGACUGUAAAUAUGUAAAUUCAGAUGUUCUCAUGCUCUCUGUAAAUCCACGUACAGGAUAUUUAUUAAAUGUAUGCAUUGGCUCCCACUGUUGUAUAAUUUUGAACUUCGAUUCUGGUUUGCUGCAAGUUGGUUUCUGUUUACUUGAUGCUUUGGCGUAUGGUUUGCC